rnacentral:rRNA from 1 species
GGGAUGACGGAAGAGCACACAAGGAGUGGAGCCUGCGGCUUAAUUUGACUCAACACGGGAAAACUCACGGAGGCAAGAGAGGGGUACGAUGCUCGGCCUGAAUGGCUAGGCAAGAUUCCCUCAGUGGUGGUGCAUGGUCGUUCUUAGUUCGUGGAGUGAUUUGUCUGGUCUAUUCCGCUAACGAGCAAGAUCCCGCCUUCUGAACGUUACGCGCUGUAUACGCCCGGUGGCAGUUUUUGGCUGUGCUGCCUGGUCGCAAGACUGGAGUUGCGUGGCUGAGUUCGGCCCUGGGUAAUCGGAAACAGAGAUGAUUGCCGGCUAACGCUAGUGAUCGGACCUACCUCCGUUUUUUACAUGCGAGAACAAUAUAAUGAACCCUCAAGGUGUACCUGCAUCAAGCAGGCACAAGCGGGUCAAUAACAGGUCAGUGAUGCCCUUAGAUGCCUUUGGCUGCACGCGCGCUACAAUGGGGAGAGCACCGGGUUUCAUCAGCCUCGAAAGAGCGCAGAAAAUCCUGCUAAUACUCCUCUUAACCGGGACUGCGUCGAGUAUCUCGACUAUACGAACGUGGAAUUUCUAGUACUCGUUGUUCACUAGAUAGCGGGGAUUCUGUCCCUGCUCUUUGUACACACCGCCCGUCGCUCCUACCGAUUGAGCUAAGGGAUGAGCUAGGGAGACUCAAAUGCCGGACGCGUCUUUCAACCCGCAAUAAUGGCGGGCGGGCGUAACUCAGCGGGGGCAACCCAAGUCCUGAUACCUCGCA